UUAUUAUCGCGCCGUCGCGCUCGAUAAAUUAGACGGUCCACUUGAGCGUGACCCGAGCGCCACUACCGAUCGUGGCCAGCGAUAAGAUUUCGAUCUACUUAAACGUACCCGUGUAUAUCUAGUGGGUUUCGUGCGACGCUCAGAUAUCGCUGGUAUCUCGAAGUUCCGAACAACUGUGACCAGGAGCCGCCUUCGAGAUUAUGUAAAUAUCGCACGUACAUGCAUGCAAAUUGGCGUCGUCUCACGUCUCGCUGCUCCGAUUGUGAUUAAUAUUUUCAAAAUUAAGCAUGGAAAGAAGAAGAUGCGAAAGAAAUAUACAUACAUGUAGGGCGCAAUCGUGUUUCUCGUUGCCGACAAUGCAAGCCAGGUGAAGAUCACAUCGUGAUUCACGCGAUCUCCCGAUGGUACCCGCAUUGACACUAUCUGUCAUCGGAGACGCUAUGAAUUACGACUACGCACGAAACGUGAAAUGUCACGUUUGUCGACGUUUACCCUAACCGGAAGAAUCCGAACGAUGGAUUCGACAACAAUGUUAUGAAGACGAAAUAUAAUAAAUUGUUAGAAAACGGGAAGAGUCUUUUUGGUGGCUGUGUGAUAAACAAAGGAGGAUAAUAUGGCUACCUAUGGCAUAGGAGCGGAUAGUCUAAUCCCGGAUGAGACGACGGCGGAUGUGCGACGACGACGGAGACGGGGACGAAGGUGGAAGCGAGAGACGGCGCAGACACAUCUCUCGGAUUACGUCUUAACAAGCUCCACGACGUUCAUUUGUCUUAUCCGUUGCCGCUAAUGCGACAGCAGCUGUUGAAAUGAUUAAUUCGGCGCGAGGACGCCGUCUUGUUCCACUCCGCCCGAGCAUUCGAUUUUGUCGUCGCAGAUGUGUCGCGGUUAAUCAGCGCAUUGUGGUUAAUCACUGUCGCUGCGAAAUACAAAGCUGAACGAAUAGCUUUCGACAAAUGGAAAUGCAAUUUUGCCAUUUGUUAUAAUAAUUUACAAAGUAUAUAUUGAUGAGAGGAUUGGUUUUCUAAGUAACAGGUCGUACAUAUUUGAAAUUUUUACGCCAAGCCUAAUUGAUAGACCUUAAAUUCAGUUUGAUGUGCGUGGAUUUUAAGAAAAAUUAAUCGAUCUAAUUCAAUCUAAUUCUAGUGACAAUUGUAUAAUCGUGAUUAAAUUCAGCACGCAAGGUGUUCCACCGUA